GGAGAGGUGCCGGAGUGGCCGAUCGGAGCUUCCUGCUAAGAAGUUGUCCCGGGAAACUGGGACCCAGGGUUCGAAUCCCUGCCUCUCCG
rnacentral:tRNA from 1 species